rnacentral:sRNA from 1 species
GUGGACUACAUUCUGAGUGUGAUGAACGUGCCUGACUUUGACUUCCCUCCCGAAUUCUAUGAGCACGCCAAGGCUCUGUGGGAGGAUGAAGGAGUGCGUGCCUGCUACGAACGCUCCAACGAGUACCAGCUGAUUGACUGUGCCCAGUACUUCCUGGACAAGAUCGAUGUGAUCAAGCAGGCUGACUAUGUGCCGAGCGAUCAGGACCUGCUUCGCUGCCGCGUCCUGACUUCUGGAAUCUUUGAGACCAAGUUCCAGGUGGACAAAGUCAACUUCCACAUGUUUGACGUGGGUGGCCAGCGCGACGAACGCCGCAAGUGGAUCCAGUGCUUCAACGGUAGGAUGCUGUGGGCUUGGCUGUUCGUGAAGAACGCUUUGCUUCUGUGUUGUUAGGGAUCAGUGUCGCUGCUCAUGCUCUUGGCUUUGCUCUCUUUGGUUAAGAUGUGACUGCCAUCAUCUUCGUGGUGGCCAGCAGCAGCUACAACAUGGUCAUCCGGGAGGACAACCAGACCAACCGCCUGCAGGAGGCUCUGA